rnacentral:rRNA from 1 species
UACGAAGGGGGCUAGCGUUGCUCGGAAUCACUGGGCGUAAAGCGCACGUAGGCGGAUUGUUAAGUCAGGGGGUGAAAUCCUGGAGCUCAACUCCAGAACUGCCUUUGAUACUGGCGAUCUCGAGUCCGGGAGAGGUGAGUGGAACUGCGAGUGUAGAGGUGAAAUUCGUAGAUAUUCGCAAGAACACCAGUGGCGAAGGCGGCUCACUGGCCCGGUACUGACGCUGAGGUGCGGAAAGCGUGGGGAGCAACAGGG